GACUCACCGAGCCACACAAGCGUCUUACUGGAAGGAAGACCUACGGACGCUGGAGCUACAGGUGGAUGUGUUGCAGGCCUACCUACGCCGCGAGAAGGAGAAAACCACAACACUAUCGCAGCAGCUAGGCGCGACAGAAUAUGAGUUGGGGAAAUCUCGAGCAUCGCUGAAACAGUCGGAGACUGACUCACACCGACACGAUGAGGAGAUGGAG